rnacentral:rRNA from 1 species
GAUGAACGCUGACAGAAUGCUUAACACAUGCAAGUCAACUGUGGCGGACGGGUGAGUAACGCGUAAAGAACUUGCCUCACAGAUAGGGACAACAUGUUGAAACGAAUGCUAAUACCUGAUACUGUGAGAGAGCUUUGCGUCCCAUUAGCAAGUUGGAGAGGUAAUGGCUCAUCAAGGCGAGGAUGGGUAGCCGGCCUGAGCGGGUGAUCGGCCACAAGGGGACUGGGAAACGGCCCUUGCUCCUACGGGAGGCAGCAGUGGGGAACAUAGGACAAUGGACCAAAGUCUGAUCCAGCAAUUCUGUGUGCAAGAUGAAGUUUUCGGAAUGUAAAGUGCUUUGAGUUGGGAAGCAGUACCAACAGAAGAAGUGACGGCUAAAUACGUGCCAGCAGCCGCGGUAAUUC